UAACAAUCAAUUAUGAUAAAAAGAGAUAAAUGUAACUCUUGCCGAAAACCUGCUUUGCGGCAGAGCGAGAAGAGAUCCUUACAAUUCCAAUUGAACGAGUGUGUGUGCAUCGGUCGUAAAGUAUAUUUUCCUUCUCAACGAAUUUUAAAUUUAUUAUGAGAAUCUCGGUCACCUUUAUGGCCGAUUCCCGGUCGGCGCGUCGCGUCGUUUGGUGUUGGUGGGUGACUCUCUGUCUGGCAGGCAGACCACUCGAAGUGUGGUAGUAAAACUCUCUGCGUUGAGUAAAAUACGACCAUGCGGAAAGCCUGAGCGGAACAGUUGUAUCAUAACUCAGCCUCGAAGAUGAACCAGAACCAGACAAGCGACGACGACGGACGAGCCUAAAACCAACCAAACCUGAAAUACGAGCGGGUAUCGGUAUCUGCUCACGUGCGCCGCGGCAGCCUCUCGGCCGCCGUCGCAGCUUCCACUACCGUUCGACGGGGUUCAGAUCCGGAAUGGACCGUGAAAUAGGAUACGAUGCGUCUCACCAACACCAAGGCAAGCCGGGAUUUCGGUGCAAAAAAGACAACAAAUAGGAGGAGCAAAUCUCAUAAACCAUUCUAGGAGAAGUGAGUUUCGCUGGGUGUGCUGGGAGAAGAAAAAAAGGAAGAGAAAAAGUGCCUCCGGAAGAUGGAUGAUUCGUGCGAGUGAGAUAUUGUAUUUUUAUUUUGUAUCGUGUGGAACGACCUCGUAUAUAAAAUGGUUAUUUAUGGCCACAGCCGGAGUGCCACUGAGUGUUCCCGAACGAACGAAACCCGAAGUUCUUCAUGCGGGAGAGUGAGAGUGAGUACCUACAUAACUGUCGAUGGAGCGAAGCGGGUUGACUACCACGAUUCCGCAUAUUUCUUGCGGGAGUUGGAAGCUACCGACGACGACGCGGUUGAAGUCCGCCGUGCCUUCAAGGAGUGAUUUUUAUUGCGUGAGAGUGUGAAUUGGUAUAAGAAUGGAAAUAAAACGAUCAAAUAAAAAGUUAGUGAGCGAA